rnacentral:tRNA from 1 species
AGCCGGGGCUUCGUAUGCUUGCUUUUUUCGGGCGAAG